CCUACGGGAGGCUGCAGUGAGGAAUAUUGGUCAAUGGGCUUACGCCUGAACCAGCCAAGUCGCGUGAGGGAAGACUGCCCUAUGGGUUGUAAACCUCUUUUGUCAGGGAGCAACGCCGGCUACGUGUAGCCGGACUGAGAGUACCUGAAGAAAAAGCAUCGGCUAACUCCGUGCCAGCAGCCGCGGUAAUACGGAGGAUGCGAGCGUUAUCCGGAUUUAUUGGGUUUAAAGGGUGCGUAGGCGGAUUUUUAAGUCAGCGGUAAAAUGUCCGGGCUCAACCCGGGCCGGCCGUUGAAACUGGGGAUCUUGAGUGGGCGAGAAGUAUGCGGAAUGCGUGGUGUAGCGGUGAAAUGCUUAGAGAUCAUACAGAACACCGAUUGCGAAGGCAGCUUACCAAGCUACUUCUGACGUUGAGGCACGAAAGCGUGGGGAGCAAACAGGAUUAGAUACCCCUGUAGUC
rnacentral:rRNA from 1 species